rnacentral:tRNA from 1 species
GUCCCUGGAGGAUUAGUGGUUAGGCCUCGGCGCUCUCACUGCCAGGGCCCGGGUUCGAUUCCCAGCCACCGGGACA